CCUACGGGGGGCAGCAGUGAGGAAUAUUGGUCAAUGGCCGGAAGGCUGAACCAGCCAUGCCGCGUGAAGGUCAGUGCCCUAUGGGCGUUAAACUUCUUUUGUGCGGGAGCAAUAAUGGUCACGUGUGGCCAGACGAGAGUACCGUACGAAUAAGCAUCGGCUAACUACGGGCCAGCAGCCGCGGUAAUACGGGGGAUGCAAGCGUUAUCCGGAUUUAUUGGGUUUAAAGGGUGCGUAGGCUGUGAGGUAAGUCAGCGGUGAAAUGCCCCCGCUCAACGGGGUGAAGUGCCAUUGAUACUGCCUGGCUGGAAUGCGGAUGCCGUGGGAGGAAUGUGUGGUGUAGCGGUGAAAUGCAUAGAUAUCACACAGAACACCGAUUGCGAAGGCAUCUCACGAAGCCGCGAUUGACGCUGAUGCACGAAAGCGUGGGUAUCAAACAGGAUUAGAUACCCGGGUAGUC
rnacentral:rRNA from 1 species